rnacentral:rRNA from 1 species
UACGUAGGGACGAGACGUUGUCCGGAAUCAUUGGGCGUAAAGAGCGUGUAGGCGGCCUUAAUACGUCGCGUGAAAUCCUGCGGCUCAACCGCAGACGGUCGUGGGAAACUGGAAGGCUAGAGUGCGGGAGAGGAGAGUGGAAUUCCCGGUGUAGCGGUGAAAUGCGCAGAUAUCGGGAAGAACACCCGUGGCGAAGGCGGCUCUCUGGAACGCAACUGACGCUGAGACGCGAAAGCGUGGGGAGCAAACAGG